UUUUUAUGAUUUUGCCAGUAUCCUGCAGAAAUCCGAAAGUAUGACUAUGAUCCGAAUUUUGCAAUAAGAGGGCUUCAUUAUGAUGUGCAUCGGGCAUUAUUAAUGAAGAUUGAUGCUUUUCACUACAUUCAACUGGGAGCUGUGUACAGAGGAUUGAGUGUUGUACCAGAUGAAGAAGUCAUUGCUAUGUAUGAUGGUUCCCAUGUUCCCUUGGAACAAAUGAGCGACUUCUAUGGAAAG